GUGCUUCUAACAGCUUACUACACAACAUACAUUUAGUAUCGUUUUCUUAGCUACAGUAUACAUCCUUUUACGAUAAAUCCGGGGGUGUUAUCAAACAACAGAUUUGCCCAGCCUCCAGUUUCCAGCAAUUAUUUACUGUAGCUAGCUAAUUUAGCUACUGCACCAGAUAAUCUACUACAGCAAAGACCAGGUUGCAACCCAACACCAGAUGAAGGCUUAUAAAAGCUCGGAAUGAAGAAAUAUAAUGUGAUACAUUAAAGUUUUGUCAGGCUACUUGUUAGCAUUACGUUUCUGUAGCACGAUAGCUAGCUAACGUUAACUAUUUAGCUAAUCCCCUGGAUUGAUUGAAAAAUGAUCAUGCCCCUCCCACAGUUUGACUUGAUCUAUGUAUAUAUUUCUCACGUCGUUAUCCUUUUUGUUUUGGUCAGGUGAACCAAUAGCAGCAAAUGUCAGGCCCUGCUUUGAGGACCUAGGUGAUGGUGAAGGGAGAUGGAGAGGUGAUGUGGCAGGGUUGGCAGAGUCAUGUUCCCAUGUUGGAGCCCUGUUAUACGCAGUGGAGGAAGGCGACCCCAUGCGAGAAUCGGUCACAUGCACAAUGGAACGGAGCAGCUGGCUGAUGCUUGCACAUGUAAAAAAGAUACCAGCAGCCCCUGUAGCCAACAUCGAUUUCUUAUCUGCAAGGGCUAAGAAGAGGAGGAUGGACCAGGCAAGUUGUACAAUGGAGCAGGCAACAUCAUCUCUGACUUGGCCUCCCAUUGUGAGUGGAUCGACAAUACCAGGAAUUUUAGAAAAAACUAAACCAAAAUGCUCCAAAAAACGUUGCUCUGAUGUUAUGCAGGUGUAUUAUUCUUUUUGAUUCUUUCUAUUAUUUUGAAUUUAACUAUUUCGGCAGGGGACAUAUUUUCCCAUUCUAAUUGUCAAAAACGCCAUAUACCAGGCAUUUGAUAUCUUCUUCUUUGAGGCCAGAAUUUACGGAUUAUAUAACAAAAUGUACAUUACACAGGCUUUGUGCCCAAGUCAACAACAAAAGCACUGCCACCCUCCAUCAUGGGCUGUGCAGUUGACUCCACGACUGUGGACAACCUAAGCACAAUGACUGAAAGCCAAAUAGAGACAGUGGAGGAGGAGACAAGAAGCCAGUCUAAAUCCAAGAUCUGGUUCAGACAGCGAGCCGGACAAAUCAUUACCUCCUGCACACUGAUCCUAACAACCCAUCCAAUAGUCUUUCAAACAGCAUCUGCUACCCAGAGAAAAUUAGGUGGGAAGUAUCAAUUGAUAGAUUUAUCUCCUGAAUGUACUGAUUUGAAGUUAAAUAAAUCCCAAGAUCAAUUGCAUUCGUUACAAUAUGUCCCUGGAAGUCCCUUUAUAAAAGUGAAUGAAUUAGAAAAGAUAGCUUUUUAUGUUGUGGAGACCUUUAUAAUAUCUGUGUUGUGUUUGUUGUAGUCAUGGUUACAGGUUACAGACAUGAAGCUGAUGCCAAACAGUAUGCAGAGGUCAUGUCCCUUGGAACAUGAGAACUUUGUGGUCCAUGGCAGUGGCCUUCAGCUGAUGCCAAUUAGUCAUACAUAGGUGCCACACCUGAUGGGUUCCCUUAUUAUUACUCCUGGUGCAGGAGUCUGUGAGAUUAAGGUAAGGACGUAUACCAUACUCAAGGUAUGGUAGUGAACCACACUUAAAUGGGCAAUCAGAAGAUGAAACUAUAACAAAUAGUUACCCAACCCACAAAAGUUUAACUAAGCUCAUGAGGCGUUUAUAAGUUGCAGUAUAUUCUUCAAUGAUCAAUGGUAACUAGGGUUGAGUAUUUCCCAGGCAUUUUACAAAUGUUCCACCCCGAGAAGAAAUCACUUUUAAAAACCAGAAGUGUCAUUCAAAAGCAUUAUAAAGCAUACAAACAUAUCUGGAUUUGAUUAGAGAUUUGAUCAGCAUGAAAAUUCAAAUCUGAUGCUAUCAGAGCCUGAUGAGACCUGUAUUAAAUACAUUUUAUGAGCCCUAUAUUAAUGAUAUUUAAUGAGUCCAAGACCAAAAAAGCCCAAAUGAUUGUGCCGUUAUCCAUUGCAUAGGCUACACGAUAUACUGUAGGCUACUGCACAUUACGCAUGACAGAAAAACAUAAAAGCCCAUAGAUGUGGCUAGCUAUAUGCUCUCUUGGGUAACCAAAUGAAACUAGCUCAAGUAGGCUAAUCUUUUUGAGUGUGAACUGUAUUACUGUACUGUAUUGUAUUAUAUAGACUGGAAUUAUACACAUCGUUCAAAACAUGAUAAAGCAGAAGAGAACAUGCGAUUCUGGUGCAGCACAUGCUGCCUACAAAGUUACAAGUAUAGGCUAACAAAUUGUAUUUUAUUUUUGAAAUAUAACAGGGCCUAUUUGUAUAAUUAGUAGGCAUAUAUAUAUAUAUAUAUAUAUAUAGUGCAUUUAGAAAGUAUUCAAACCCCUUGACUUUUCCCACAUUUUGUUACAUUACAGCUUUGUUCUAAAAUUGAUUAAAUCAAGUUACCAUGAUGUGAUGAUACUAUAGGUCUACAUGCAUUGUGAACUGCGCUCCAUGCUGAGAUGGGCAGUAUGUCCCCACUCUGAGCGUUGAUUCAUCAAGCAGAGGCUGUAGAGAAGACAGAUUUAGACAUCACAUAUAAUUUAACAGUUCCAUUUCGCGGCAUGCUGUUCAUAUAAAUCAUUUAUUAUAAUUUACCGGUUUGUCACAGUUAUUUAUCCUGGGAAAAGGGAGUGAUUUUUGGCGGUAAAUCCCGGUAAAUGUCGGUAACUGGUUUCCUGCAAUUCAACCCUAAGGGGUACAUAAUAUGAAUUUAUAUUUGUCAAAAAAUGUAUGUAGCAACUGUAGAUUGGCAUUUUAAGAGAAUAGCUUAAAUCAGUCAAUCAACCAACAAAUCAACUGUUCAAUCAAUAAAACAAUCAUUCAAUCGAUAGAUCAAUACUGUUUAAUCAUUGUUGGUUCAAUCAAUCAUUGUAAUGUACAGGGUCUAUUUUGUAUACAGUAGUAAUGUGUCUAAGAUCUUUUGUUCUCCCUCUGGGACUUUUAAAGUUCAUCCUAUCCUAACUUCUAGUCAUCCAUCGAAUGCACCAUAUUGUAUUUAAUAAUCAAUUACCCAAUUAUAUUCAAUCAAUCAUUCCACCAACCAAACAAUCAAUAACUCAACCAACAAUAAAGCAAUCAAUUCAUCUAAUUAUCUCAAAAUCGACAUCUUAUUCCAGUGUCCUUACUGCCACCAGGAGGACAUCUUUGUUCAGAGAGUUGGAAAGAAAGAGUUCUGUCUCAUAGAAUCGGAGAGCUCCAGCUGCGUAGAGACCAUGCCUACUACUAUCAAGUUCAGGAGCAGCAUAAUAUUACAGACAUUACACACAUUACUGCAAUUUUGUUGUUUGGAAUAAAAAAUACAUUUUGAGAGAGGCAGUUGCAAAAGCCAAGAUUUUUUAAGCAAUACAUUCUGACAAAAAUGUUGACCGGGAACAAUUAAAUUGAGCUCUGUCUUUUUUCUGGUGGAAGGGGGGGAGGGGGCAAAGGGACAAUGGAGUCUGAGAGAUUAUUGAGCGCACAACACAUGACCCCAGUUUUUCAAUCAGUACAACUGAUUCUCCAGGUUUCUUGGUAAGGUACUCAUGGCUUCAUGGUGAGGUACAUUGCUCCGUAGCACCUGAUAUUUUAACACUGACUAACUCUUUCUAGUAUUUUCUAUUUCUAAAGCAGACAACUGUUUCUUGUCCAGUGUAAAUGCACAUAGCUUUAUGGUGGCACAGUAGAACCCUACACUGUCCUCUAUAUUCAACCUGCAGUCUGCCAUAACAACGUCCCCUGACUCGAGAUUGUCAAGUAAGCCACUCAGUCUGUUCUGUCAGCUGUUUGUCACUUACUCUGCCACCUCAUGCUACAGAAAUAAGUUCCUCCUCCAUUUCAGUAAUGGCAGUGUUGGUCAGGUCCGUCUGGCAUGCGGUGCUGACAGAUGUACCUAUGGACAACAAUAUGAUAUAUACCAAUGUCUUAAUAUAACCUUCCAAUAUCUUUCAAGUUUAUUACAUUAGGCCUAAUGCGCAGUAGAACUCUGGCUGCCUGUUCCUCAUACACAUCCACAAGUUCACAACUGAGCCCAAAAUUAGAUUGUUAUUUUCAAAUACACAAUCAUUUCAUACCUUGAUUACAUUGAGACACAAUCACAUCCCACCGGGCAAAAACUGGGUGAAUUAACGUUGUUUCCGAUUCAUUGAUGACAUGGAAUCAACAUGGAACACUGAUUCAAUUUGAAAAAAGUCAUC